UCUCUCUCUCUCUCUCUCUCUCUCUCUAAAUCUAGAGAGUGAGAGAGAGAGAGAGAGAGAGAGAGAGA